AACCUUCUUAAUCCGUGCAGAGAUUUCGUCAGACACCAGAGCAUCAGUACUGAUGAGACUCUCAGGAUAGGUGAAGCG
rfam:Schistosoma mansoni, Puerto Rico, WGS project CABG01000000 data, contig: 0250